rnacentral:tRNA from 1 species
UGUGGCAGAAUAGUGCGAUAAAUUUAAGCUUUAUUAAUAAAGUAUACCUUUCUUUAGA